GCCGGGUGCGGUGGCCCACACCUGUAGUCCCAGCUAUUUGGGAGAUUGAGAAGGGAGGAUCUUGAGCCCUGUAGUUUUGGGCUGUAGUGAGCUGUGACUAUCAGGUGUCCACACUAAGUUCAGCAUCAAUAUGCUGACCUCCUGGGAUCAGGGGACCACCAGGUUGCUAAGGAGGGGUGAACUGGCCCAGGUCAGAAAUGGAGCAGGUCAAAAUAUCUACUAGAGAUAGUAACUGAAAUUUUUUUUUAAUUUUUUGUUUAUUUAAUUAAUCUAUUUAUU
rnacentral:SRP_RNA from 1 species